rnacentral:misc_RNA from 1 species
CAUUGUUGUGGUUGGUACAGA